rnacentral:lncRNA from 1 species
CUCAAAUUUCCUUCAGGAUACUGUAUGCUGGACAUUAGGUAGGCUCAAACCAGCAUAAGCGACCAAGACUGCCUGCCUUAUCUUUCCAGGUCUCUCUGUGACUGAACUCCUACAGCAGUUAAUUGCCAGAGAACUGCUGGGUGUCCCUUAGUACCCUUGGGCUCUGGGGAAGGCAGAGACUCAGUUUUGUGGUUCAAAUGCUGCCUUCAUGAUCCUGGUGCCAUGUCUAAUAUUUAUUCUUAUGUGUGUGUGGUUUGUUUUUUUUUUUUCUUUUUUGAGACCCAGGUCUCACUAUGUUGCUCAGGCUGGUCUUGAAUUCCUGGGCUCAAGCAAUCCUCCCACCUCAGCUUCCCAAAGUGCUGGGAUUACAGGCAUGAGACACCAUGCCCAGCUCUAUUUAUUGUUAAAAAAUAAUUUUAGGCCGGGUGGGUGGCUCAUGCCUGUAAUCCCAGAACUCUGGGAGGCUGAGGCGGGUUGAUCAUGAGGUCAGGAGAU